CCGAUUCAAUUUGUUUCGCCGAACCAUAUGGCAACAGCCGUCGCAGCUAGGUCCGCCUUCCGCUCCGCCUCCACCUUCACCACCCUCCGCACGGGGGCUUCUAGAAUCGCCGCUGGUGCUAAAUCCAAUGCGACAUCGCCGCCACGCUCUACCUUUCGCAUCCCCUCACAAAACCCCCUUUCUCAUCGCAUUUUCAGGUCACCAGUUGAGAUGAGUUGUAUGUCUGUAGAAUCAAUGUUUCCAUUCCAUACAGCUACUGCCUCUGCAUUGCUGACCUCAAUGCUUUCAGCUGCUCCGCGGACAUGUGGUUGGACCCUUGAAGAUCUGAACGAUGAUGUAUGAUGACUUGUUGGAAGGCUGUGGACCUACUACAAGAAUGCAUGAUAAGUAAUGAACUCCAGAAGAAAGGCUGUGAUUGGGCAUGAAGCGGUUUUCAUUCGAGUAAAUUGUUUGUUGAUUGUAGAUGGAUGAUUUUGGCUGGAUAUUUUAAUGGCAGUGACCGAUGAUUCUUGUCAUUUGCAUUUUUGAAAAUGGGAACAUGUUGUCGUCAUAUGAGGCUGUCGACUAUUAUUUCACUAAGACAAUGUUGAUAUUUGAAGGUACAUUUGUUGCACUAUUAAUGAUUAGUCGUUUCUGCAUCUACUUGAAUGGCUGCUUCGUACUCUGAAACACACUUCAACUUGUGAUCUUUCAUUAUAUGGAAUAAAUAUCGUGUAGAGGUCGUCAAACUGGUUAACUGAUCGG